rnacentral:rRNA from 1 species
UACGGAGGGGGCAAUCGUUGUCCGGAAUUAUUGGGCGUAAAGAGCGCGUAGGCGGUUUGAUAAGUCGGGUGUGAAAUUCCGGGGCUCAACUCCGGAACUGCAUUCGAUACUGGUAAGCUCGAGUCUGGAAGAGGAGCGUGGAAUUCCCGGUGUAGCGGUGAAAUGCGUAGAUAUCGGGAAGAACACCGAUGGCGAAGGCAGGGCCCUGGGCCGAUACUGACGCUGAGGCGCGAAAGCGUGGGGAGCAAACAGG